rnacentral:rRNA from 1 species
GGGUUGUGAGGUUAAGCGACUAAGCGUACACGGUGGAUGCCCUGGCAGUCAGAGGCGAUGAAGGACGUGCUAAUCUGCGAAAAGCGUCGGUAAGGUGAUAUGAACCGUUAUAACCGGCGAUGUCCGAAUGGGGAAACCCAGUGUGAUUCGUCACACUAUCGUUAACUGAAUACAUAGGUUAACGAGGCGAACCGGGGGAACUGAAACAUCUAAGUACCCCGAGGAAAAGAAAUCAACCGAGAUUCCCCCAGUAGCGGCGAGCGAACGGGGAGCAGCCCAGAGUCUGAAUCAGCUUGUGUGUUAGUGGAACGGUCUGGAAAGUCCGACGGUACAGGGUGAUAGUCCCGUACACCAAAAUGCACAGGCUGUGAACUCGAAGAGUAGGGCGGGACACGUGGUAUCCUGUCUGAAUAUGGGGGGACCAUCCUCCAAGGCUAAAUACUCCUGACUGACCGAUAGUGAACCAGUACCGUGAGGGAAAGGCGAAAAGAACCCCGGCGAGGGGAGUGAAAAAGAACCUGAAACCGUGUACGUACAAGCAGUGGGAGCACCUUUAUGGUGUGACUGCGUACCUUUUGUAUAAUGGGUCAGCGACUUAUAUUCUGUAGCAAGGUUAACCGUAUAGGGGAGCCGCAGGGAAACCGAGUCUUAACUGGGCGUUAAGUUGCAGGGUAUAGACCCGAAACCCGGUGAUCUAGCCAUGGGCAGGUUGAAGGUUGGGUAACACUAACUGGAGGACCGAACCGACUAAUGUUGAAAAAUUAGCGGAUGACUUGUGGCUGGGGGUGAAAGGCCAAUCAAACCGGGAGAUAGCUGGUUCUCCCCGAAAGCUAUUUAGGUAGCGCCUCGUGAAUUCAUCUUCGGGGGUAGAGCACUGUUUCGGCUAGGGGGUCAUCCCGACUUACCAACCCGAUGCAAACUACGAAUACCGAAGAAUGUUAUCACGGGAGACACACGGCGGGUGCUAACGUCCGUCGUGAAGAGGGAAACAACCCAGACCGCCAGCUAAGGUCCCAAAGUCAUGGUUAAGUGGGAAACGAUGUGGGAAGGCACAGACAGCCAGGAUGUUGGCUUAGAAGCAGCCAUCAUUUAAAGAAAGCGUAAUAGCUCACUGGUCGAGUCGGCCUGCGCGGAAGAUGUAACGGGGCUAAACCAUGCACCGAAGCUGCGGCAGCGACACUAUGUGUUGUUGGGUAGGGGAGCGUUCUGUAAGCCUGCGAAGGUGACCUGUGAGGGUUGCUGGAGGUAUCAGAAGUGCGAAUGCUGACAUAAGUAACGAUAAAGCGGGUGAAAAGCCCGCUCGCCGGAAGACCAAGGGUUCCUGUCCAACGUUAAUCGGGGCAGGGUGAGUCGACCCCUAAGGCGAGGCCGAAAGGCGUAGUCGAUGGGAAACAGGUUAAUAUUCCUGUACUUGGUGUUACUGCGAAGGGGGGACGGAGAAGGCUAUGUUAGCCGGGCGACGGUUGUCCCGGUUUAAGCAUGUAGGCUGGUUAUCCAGGCAAAUCCGGAUAAUCAAGGCUGAGGUGUGAUGACGAGGCACUACGGUGCUGAAGUAACAAAUGCCCUGCUUCCAGGAAAAGCCUCUAAGCAUCAGGUAACAUCAAAUCGUACCCCAAACCGACACAGGUGGUCAGGUAGAGAAUACCAAGGCGCUUGAGAGAACUCGGGUGAAGGAACUAGGCAAAAUGGUGCCGUAACUUCGGGAGAAGGCACGCUGGUGUGUAGGUGAAGUCCCUGCGGAUGGAGCUGAGACCAGUCGAAGAUACCAGCUGGCUGCAACUGUUUAUUAAAAACACAGCACUGUGCAAACACGAAAGUGGACGUAUACGGUGUGACGCCUGCCCGGUGCCGGAAGGUUAAUUGAUGGGGUUAUCCGUAAGGAGAAGCUCUUGAUCGAAGCCCCGGUAAACGGCGGCCGUAACUAUAACGGUCCUAAGGUAGCGAAAUUCCUUGUCGGGUAAGUUCCGACCUGCACGAAUGGCGUAAUGAUGGCCAGGCUGUCUCCACCCGAGACUCAGUGAAAUUGAACUCGCUGUGAAGAUGCAGUGUACCCGCGGCAAGACGGAAAGACCCCGUGAACCUUUACUAUAGCUUGACACUGAACAUUGAGCCUUGAUGUGUAGGAUAGGUGGGAGGCUUUGAAGCGUGGACGCCAGUCUGCGUGGAGCCAACCUUGAAAUACCACCCUUUAAUGUUUGAUGUUCUAACGUUGGCCCCUUAUCGGGGUUGCGGACAGUGUCUGGUGGGUAGUUUGACUGGGGCGGUCUCCUCCCAAAGCGUAACGGAGGAGCACGAAGGUUAGCUAAUCCUGGUCGGACAUCAGGAGGUUAGUGCAAUGGCAUAAGCUAGCUUGACUGCGAGCGUGACGGCGCGAGCAGGUGCGAAAGCAGGUCAUAGUGAUCCGGUGGUUCUGAAUGGAAGGGCCAUCGCUCAACGGAUAAAAGGUACUCCGGGGAUAACAGGCUGAUACCGCCCAAGAGUUCAUAUCGACGGCGGUGUUUGGCACCUCGAUGUCGGCUCAUCACAUCCUGGGGCUGAAGUAGGUCCCAAGGGUAUGGCUGUUCGCCAUUUAAAGUGGUACGCGAGCUGGGUUUAGAACGUCGUGAGACAGUUCGGUCCCUAUCUGCCGUGGGCGCUGGAGAAUUGAGGGGGGCUGCUCCUAGUACGAGAGGACCGGAGUGGACGCAUCACUGGUGUUCGGGUUGUCAUGCCAAUGGCACUGCCCGGUAGCUAAAUGCGGAAGAGAUAAGUGCUGAAAGCAUCUAAGCACGAAACUUGCCCCGAGAUGAGUUCUCCCUGAGACUUUAAGUCUCCUGAAGGAACGUUGAAGACGACGACGUUGAUAGGCCGGGUGUGUAAGCGCAGCGAUGCGUUGAGCUAACCGGUACUAAUGAACCGUGAGGCUUAACCUUACAACGCCGAAG